rnacentral:rRNA from 1 species
GUGACCUCAAAUCAGGUAGGACUACCCGCUGAACUUAAGCAUAUCAAUAAGCGGAGGAAAAGAAACUAACAAGGAUUCCCCUAGUAACUGCGAGUGAAGCGGGAAAAGCUCAAAUUUAAAAUUUGGCAGUYUCCGGCUGUCCGAGUUGUAAUCUAGAGAAGUGUUAUCCGCGUUGGACCGUGUACAAGU